UGAAAGCUCCACAAUGGGAUCUGGGAUUUGAAGUUUUUGAUCUUAAAAAGUGGCUCGAGAUCAUGGGAUUUUAUCCGGGAGGGCUGAUGAAAGGAGGGCCAGGCUGCUAUAGCUCGAGAGCCGGGCGGGGGAAGUCGGGGACGGAGCUCCCCCCCUUCCCCCUCCCGAUGUACGGAGCUAUCGCCUCUUGAGUCACCCUUGGGAGGGCUCAGGAGGCUGAUUUUCGUGUCCAAAUUAAGCCCCUUGUUCCCCUGAAUCGCAUCUUUCAUUUGACUUCAGACAUCACUUCAUACCUCGUGUUUGUGGGCUUGCCGCAACAUCUGCAUUCUGGGAAACAGUUACUUGCUCGAAUUGUCAAACGUUUUCUUUUUCUUUCGUUGGAACCGGC
rnacentral:lncRNA from 1 species